GAUGAACGCUGGCGGCGUGCCUAAUACAUGCAAGUCGAGCGAACAGACGAGGAGCUUGCUCCUCUGACGUUAGCGGCGGACGGGUGAGUAACACGUGGAUAACCUACCUAUAAGACUGGGAUAACUUCGGGAAACCGGAGCUAAGACCGGAUAAUAUAUUGAACCGCAUGGUUCAAUAGUGAAAGACGGUUUUGCUGUCACUUAUAGAUGGAUCCGCGCCGCAUUAGCUAGUUGGUAAGGUAACGGCUUACCAAGGCGACGAUGCGUAGCCGACCUGAGAGGGUGAUCGGCCACACUGGAACUGAGACACGGUCCAGACUCCUACGGGAGGCAGCAGUAGGGAAUCUUCCGCAAUGGGCGAAAGCCUGACGGAGCAACGCCGCGUGAGUGAUGAAGGUCUUCGGAUCGUAAAACUCUGUUAUUAGGGAAGAACAAAUGUGUAAGUAACUAUGCACGUCUUGACGGUACCUAAUCAGAAAGCCGCGGCUAACUACGUG
rnacentral:rRNA from 1 species